CUCAGUUUCAAUCAGGUUACAUGUGACAACACAAUGACACCUUCAACAGCUACGGGUUCCGCUCUCCACCCCACAUUGCAAAGCAAGCAGGAGCCAGAGGAACGCACUGCAGACAGGCUCUUACUGGAAUCCACACCUCAGGGAGCAGCUGACACGGCUCCAUUCAGCACCUAUGGGACAGCUUCUUGGUAAUUCUGCAUCAAGAACACCCUGUUACAUUCCACCUGCUGGCCAGCUCACAUUGCAGGCUGAGGAGGACCAGGCACAGGAGAAACAAGCAGAACUAAUUCAGAACUAAAAGGGCUCCCACCCCUCUGAGCACAGAAGCUGAGUAUCACUGCUGACAGCCAGGCUGGAACUUCGACACCCAUGAGGAUGGACCUCCAUUCUGCAGAAAUCCAUACAGGAAGGAGGUUAAACUAAAUCCCCAAGCACUGGGAACACAGUUACUAACUGAUGAUAUCAAACUCUCCUUCUUUUACUUUCCUUCCUUCCACCUCUAACCUAAAUAAAAACACAUCCUGCAUC